AUGGACCCGCGGCGCAUUAGCUAGUUGGUGAGGUAACGGCUCACCAAGGCGACGAUGCGUAGCCGACCUGAGAGGGUGAUCGGCCACACUGGGACUGAGAC
rnacentral:rRNA from 1 species